rnacentral:sRNA from 1 species
UUCCUCUUUCCACAAACCGGUUUUUGCCAACCCUUUUUUUUUGCCAAUUUUUUGAAGAAGGAAAGAAAAUCAGGUUUUUGACAAAUCCUAUUAAAGUCAAGAGUUGAGCAUCCAAUGGUAAAUGGAACAAACAAAGAGAUGAACAUUCUGGAGAUGAACUUUCAAAAGAGAGGAAUUUAAUGCAAAUCAAGGACAUAUGGGACUAGAACAGUUAUUUUUCUGACAUACAUCAAUAAAAUGAAGGGCGUAUUGAUAUGUGAAGAAACAACAAAAAAGUCCUUGUGGUAGCAGUGAUGUUGAAAAAAGUGUGGUUGGUAAUUUUCACCAAGGUUCUAAUACAUUUCCAAAAUGGAGUCUAGGAAGGCAGUGUGUUUCAAAUGCACUCAUCAGUAAUUUGUAAAAGUAUCUCAAUUUAAAGGAAGUUCUGGAUUGGACUUCAGGAGAUAUAGAUUUCAUUUUGAAAAAUGAGCUGUAUCAGCACGUUUGUCAGUAUGCUUCACGUGUUUAUUUUAAUCCAUGUGAUCUGCCAAAUUAUUUUUGUUUUAAAAACACAUUGCUACGAUGCUCUCUCAGGCAAUAUAAGUGAAUCAUUUGUGGAAAAUGGUUCUUUUCUGUCCCUAGAGUCGUCUAUAUCUAUGUGUUUUAUUGAAUCGUCUUGUACAUGUAUCUUUAUUUGUAAAGAAACGUUCUUAUCCAGCUGGAAUAUUUCUAACUUAUGGGUCAAUGUCAAAGCAAAGUUCUUUGAAAUUCUUUUCAUUCUAUUGUCCAUAAUUUAAGCAGAGCCCCUUAAUUGAGAUGGUGACUAUUUCAAUGCUGUCUAGUUAUUAACGUGCAUUGCACGACUACAAACAUACUACUGAAAAUAAAUUAAUGCAAGUUCAACUCCCAUGAGUACUUUCAGUACUUUGAUUAUGACUUAAGUUUCUCUUUUUUAUGAAUCAUCCAGCAACACUAUUUGGGAAUCCGUGUAAACUAGAACUGAAUAAACCGGAUAAGUGAUUU